AGAAGCUUGCUUCUCUUGAGAGCGGCGGACGGGUGAGUAAUGCCUAGGAAUCUGCCUGGUAGUGGGGGAUAACGUUCGGAAACGGACGCUAAUACCGCAUACGUCCUACGGGAGAAAGCAGGGGACCUUCGGGCCUUGCGCUAUCAGAUUAGCCUAUGUCGGAUUAGCUAGUUGGUGAGGUAAUGGCUCACCAAGGCGACCAUCCGUAACUGGUCUGAGAUGAUGAUCAGUCACA
rnacentral:rRNA from 1 species